UACGAAGGGGGCUAGCGUUGCUCGGAAUCACUGGGCGUAAAGGGUGCGUAGGCGGGUCUUUAAGUCAGGGGUGAAAUCCUGGAGCUCAACUCCAGAACUGCCUUUGAUACUGAAGAUCUCGAGUCCGGGAGAGGUGAGUGGAACUGCGAGUGUAGAGGUGAAAUUCGUAGAUAUUCGCAAGAACACCAGUGGCGAAGGCGGCUCACUGGCCCGGUACUGACGCUGAGGCACGAAAGCGUGGGGAGCAAACAGG
rnacentral:rRNA from 1 species